GGGUUUGUACUUAGCUUCGGUUUUUGCAACUGAGGAAAGUCCGCCCACUCAAGCCUUAAAGGCUUGCUGACUAAUCAGAGCCACUCGCGGAAGCGAGCCCUAGCAAUAGGGGGCAACCACUCAGAAACGAGACCGCUGUAAUUAAGGAUGAAAUUUGUGAAGAUUCCUGCGAGGGAAUCGAGCUAACCAACUGACGUUUUUGCAGCAUGGGUGAAACGGUGAGCCCUGGCUGGUGCAAGUCUUAAAAGACGCUUAGUUUAAUGCUAAGGCAGGCUGUCGUGAUUUUCAUGUCACACUCGGGGCCUGACAAAAGGCGGCUUAUUCAAGCCC
rnacentral:RNase_P_RNA from 1 species